AAAGGUGAUAUGAGUGUACAUCGUCUUUGCCAAUGCAAGUAAAACUAAAACUGAAACAUAAACAAAAACUAAACUGAAACUGAAACAUAAACUCAAACUGAAAAUGAAACUGAAACGUAAUACUUGAACUGAAACAUAAACCUCAAAGUGAUCUUAAAAUCCAAGAAGUACCAAAGUAACUAAACUGAAACAUUUAACUAAAGUACUUAAAACUGAAACAUUAAAUUAAAGUCAUAAACUGAAACUGAAAACCGAAAACAUGAAUUUCCUCUCAAGAUGUCUCUUCAUCAAUAUCAAGCUCAUCGUCAACAAUUGACUGGAAAGUAGGCAAUGUCUCAUCUUCAACAAAUUUUUCGUACUCCUCUACAUAUGUCCCAUAAAAAUAACAAAAUCAA
rnacentral:lncRNA from 1 species